GCCAGAAAGUGGUUCUCACUUCAUGCCUUGGAAUAUGUGUGAGGGGCAUCCACACAGCUAAAGAAGGCAGCUGGAUGUUUCAGUGGGGGUGUUGGCUGGGAUCUAGUUCCAGCCUUGCCACUUUUCUGUGUGGCGUUGGGCAAGUCACUUCUCCUCUUUGAGCCUCAGUUUCCUUGUGUGUGGAGUAAACUGUUUGUUGGAGAGGAAGUCUGGGUAGCCUGCCUGUUUCGAGUCCCUGCGACCUGCAAGAUCUUUGAGAACCUGGACUCAGGACCCAGAGAGAUCCUGGGCAAGUCACUUACCGUCUCAGUGCUGGAUUAACAGUGAAAUAGCAAAACGCCUGCUUCUUUAGGUUUUGUGAGGAGUAAAUGGAUGAGUACGUGUAAAGUGUCUGGAACAGCGUCUGGCCCGUGCACCUGGUGUGGGACCUGGCAGGCGCUGGCUGAAAUGAGAGUUGAAUUAAAAUUCCGUGAAGAAACAUCCAGCUUCGAAGCAGAUCUAUGAAGAGGAAGGGAGCAUUAAGUCCAGCCUCAAACUUCAGGAAAACAGUAGUCAAAAAAGAAACAGCCCUCGCCGCCCCUCAGCCCCAGGCCAGCAACCUGAGCUGCAGAAGGAAAGCAGCAAUUAUGGUUUGGGGUUUCUCCCCCUCCUCUCCAGCUUCUGGACUCACUUUUCAUCUUCCUCCUGCCUUUUGAGACCUUCGCAUUGAGCUCCACGGGACUGCGCUCCUGGAGUGCCUGGGGUGGGGGCGCGGCAAAGCCCUCACCCCCUCCGAGAGCCCGGGGUGGAGCGGCGGCCCCCGGGGGACAGGCUGGUGCCCCCUCUGCUAAUCCGCAGCCCGCAACUCUGGCCCAGCGCCUGGCAGCUCACCCCUCGCCCAAGGAAAUUUAUUAGCAGAGGCCGCGGGGAGGGCCGGGUUCCUGAGACUUCAUUACUCUUACAAAAUAUACUAUGGGACGUUUACUAGUGUCCCAUGAAGUGUGGCCAUAAAUCAGGGGCUCCGAGGCGCUUGUCAGAAGAAAUGAGGAAAGUGCGUUUGCUCGCGCCCCCGUGGCCUUGCCGGCACCGGUAGCAUCCCUGUCCCUGAUCAAGGACACCUCGGCCACCCGCCUGGCCCAGGGACUGGGCACAGAGCUGUCCCAGAUUCGCAACGAAAAUGUCAUCCAACUUCGAAUGCACACAUGUCACACACUGAAUCUCUCCUGGAAAUAUUUCCUCUGCCAAUUUUAUUCUCCCGGCCCCAGGGACCUACAAAACUUCUGUGCAGCACGAUCCUGUUUCUAAUAUACACACAUGAAGGAAAUACCCCCGAAGGUUAGCAGUGAUUCUCGCUUGGUAGAACAAUCACAGGUGACUUUUAUUAACUUCUUUAUACUUUCCCAGAUUUUCCACACUCUAAAAA